GCAUAAUAACUUGUUCAUUAAUUGUGGACUAGAAUGAAUGGGGUAACGAGGCAGAGCUGUUUCGAUAAGAAGAGUAUAAAUUAAUUUUUAAGUGAAGAAGCUUAAAUUGUAUUAAAAGACAAGAAGACCCUAUAGAGCUUUAAUUUUUUAUAUAUUUAUAGAUUUAAAUUUCGGUUGGGGCGACUUGGGAUAAAUCAUCCCUUAUAUUUAUGAUGAACUUAUCUUUAAAUGAUCCUAUUUUAGAUCUUUGGAAUAAGUUACCUUAGGGAUAACAGGCUAAUAUCACUAUAGAGUUCAUAUUGACAGUGAAGA
rnacentral:rRNA from 1 species